rnacentral:ncRNA from 2 species
GAAAAACAUAAAUAAGGUACAUGUAUAGGCUUAUGAAUUGGCGUAAGCGUUUCUACCAAAUGACCGUAAUCAUUGGACUACAUGUGAACGUUAGAGGGGU